rnacentral:rRNA from 1 species
GACGAACGCUGGCGGCGUGCUUAACACAUGCAAGUCGAACGGUGAACCGCUUUCGGGCGGGGAUCAGUGGCGAACGGGUGAGUAACACGUGGGUAACCUGCCCUCCACUCUGGGAUAACUCCGGGAAACCGGGGCUAAUACCGGAUACGACCUUCCCCGGCAUCGGGGAGGGUGGAAAGUUUUUCGGUGGAGGAUGGACCCGCGGCCUAUCAGCUUGUUGGUGGGGUAACGGCCUACCAAGGCUUUGACGGGUAGCCGGCCUGAGAGGGCGACCGGCCACACUGGGACUGAGACACGGCCCAGACUCCUACGGGAGGCAGCAGUGGGGAAUAUUGCACAAUGGGCGAAAGCCUGAUGCAGCGACGCCGCGUGAGGGAUGACGGCCUUCGGGUUGUAAACCUCUUUCAGCAGGGACGAAGCGCAAG